UUCCCAGUGCCUGAUGGAGGCUUAUGGCUACCCGGGGGUGGAGGGCAAUCUUUUCCUCCUGGAGUAGGAGGGUUUGUCCCCGGAGGAAGAAGAGGACCCACAAUCGGCAAUGGUGGCAGUGGCAAUGUGGGUAGCCCUCCCACCGGAGGUAUGGGUAGCCCUCCCACCGGAGGUAUGGGUAGCCCUCCCACCGGAGGUAUGGGUAGCCCUCCUACCGGAGGAAGUGGUAGUUCUGGGACGGUCACUGGAGGUACAGGUAGCUUUGGGACUGUCACCGGAGGAACUGGAAGCUUAGGUACGGUCACUGGAGGAACAGGUAGCUUCGGAACUGUCACCGGAGGAACUGGAAGCUUAGGGACAGUCACUGGAGGAACGGGUAGCUUGGGAACAGUCACUGGAGGAACGGGUAGCUUGGGAACAGUUACAGGGGGUUUAAUGGAGGGUUUUCCACCCUUCCUGUGGUUGCAGGAGCCACAUGAGAAGGAUUGUUGGGGAAAGAAGAUAAUGCAAAUGAGAAUGAAACAGAGAGAAAGAGAUGAUAGUUUGGAU
rnacentral:lncRNA from 1 species